rnacentral:rRNA from 1 species
AGAGUUUGAUCAUGGUUCAGAACGAACGCUGGCGGCAGGCUUAACACAUGCAAGUCGAACGCCCCGCAAGGGGAGUGGCAGACGGGUGAGUAACGCGUGGGAACGUGCCCUUCGGUUCGGAAUAACUCAGGGAAACUUGAGCUAAUACCGGAUACGUGCGAGAGCAGAAAGAUUUAUCGCCGAAGGAUCGGCCCGCGUCCGAUUAGCUAGUUGGUGAGGUAACGGCUCACCAAGGCGACGAUCGGUAGCUGGUCUGAGAGGAUGAUCAGCCACAUUGGGACUGAGACACGGCCCAAACUCCUACGGGAGGCAGCAGUGGGGAAUAUUGGACAAUGGGCGCAAGCCUGAUCCAGCCAUGCCGCGUGAGUGAUGAAGGCCUUAGGGUUGUAAAGCUCUUUCGCCAGGGACGAUAAUGACGGUACCUGGAUAAGAAGCCCCGGCUAACUUCGUGCCAGCAACCGCGGUAAUACGAAGGGGGCUAGCGUUGUUCGGAUUUACUGGGCGUAAAGCGCACGUAGGCGGAUCUUUAAGUCAGGGGUGAAAUCCCGAGGCUCAACCUCGGAACUGCCUUUGAUACUGGAGGUCUCGAGUCCGGGAGAGGUGAGUGGAACUGCGAGUGUAGAGGUGAAAUUCGUAGAUAUUCGCAAGAACACCAGUGGCGAAGGCGGCUCACUGGCCCGGUACUGACGCUGAGGUGCGAAAGCGUGGGGAGCAAACAGGAUUAGAUACCCUGGUAGUCCACGCCGUAAACGAUGGAUGCUAGCCGUUGGGGAGCUUGCUCUUCAGUGGCGCAGCUAACGCUUUAAGCAUCCCGC